CUCGUUGCACUCCAGUCCAGUGGUUCUGGGAUUAUGAACGUGGUGCUGCCAGCCGCAGGCGAGACCCCAGCGGCCUGAACUUCUUCAACUGGUUGUGUGACCCCAGCUGCCCAGGGUCCAACAGGAUCGCCGGGAUCAUCAUCGAGGACCUGUGGCCCAAUCCGUUGCAGUACUACCCGAGGCUGGAAGGCGGCGCCUGGGAAUGAGCUGAGAGGACGACCUGUCGGCAUGGCAGCCGUGUGGAAGUGGACAUCACAGAGCAUCCGCGUUGCACCACCAAGAAGAAUCUGAUGAGGCCUCCACCGUUGAGAGACCUGCAUGGGCUCUUCUCCGUGGUGCUCAGCCUGCACGGGACAGCAAAAGGGACAAGGAGCAGCAGGGGCAGCGCUAGAGAGGAUCCUGCCCCUAGCUGCAGGGUCAGGGAGAAGGGCC